AUGGGCUCAGAUGCGGACAUGGAAGACUACGGUUUCGAGUAUUCGGACGACGAGCCGGAGGAGCAAGACGUCGACAUCGAGAACCAGUACUACAACUCCAAAGGUAUGGUUGAGACAGACCCAGAGGGUGCACUUGCUGGUUUUGAUGCUGUAGUUCGCAUGGAGCCUGAAAAGGCGGAAUGGGGAUUCAAGGCUCUUAAACAAACUGUGAAGCUUUAUUAUAAGCUGGGGAAGUACAAAGAAAUGAUGGAUGCUUACAGAGAGAUGUUGACAUACAUAAAAUCUGCUGUGACACGUAACUACAGUGAGAAAUGUAUAAACAACAUAAUGGAUUUUGUUUCUGGAUCUGCUAGUCAGCACUUCAAUCUUCUGCAAGAGUUCUACCAGACAACACUUAAAGCUCUUGAAGAGGCAAAAAAUGAGAGAUUAUGGUUUAAGACAAAUCUGAAGCUUUGCAAAAUCUGGUUUGACAUGGGGGAGUAUGGUCGCAUGAGCAAGAUACUGAAGGAGCUGCAUAAGUCUUGCCAAAAGGAAGAUGGUUCUGAUGACCAGAAGAAAGGCACACAACUUCUAGAAGUCUAUGCUAUUGAGAUUCAAAUGUACACUGAAACAAAAAACAACAAAAAGUUGAAGGAAUUGUACCAGAGGGCUCUUUCUAUUAAAUCAGCAAUACCUCAUCCAAGAAUUAUGGGUAUAAUUCGUGAAUGUGGUGGGAAGAUGCACAUGGCUGAGAGGCAGUGGGCGGACGCAGCGACUGAUUUCUUUGAAGCAUUCAAAAACUACGAUGAAGCUGGCAAUCCACGGAGAAUCCAGUGUCUCAAAUAUCUUGUUCUUGCCAAUAUGUUGAUGGAGUCUGAAGUGAAUCCCUUUGAUGGACAAGAGGCCAAGCCGUACAAAAAUGAUCCUGAAAUCCUCGCAAUGACAAACUUGAUUGCAGCAUACCAGAAGAAUGACAUCAUGGAAUUCGAGAAGAUCCUAAAGAGCAAUAGAAGAACAAUAAUGGAUGAUCCUUUUAUCCGUAAUUACAUUGAGGACUUAUUGAAGAACAUCAGAACUCAAGUGCUGCUCAAGCUCAUUAAGCCAUACACAAGAAUAAGGAUUCCAUUCAUUUCACAGGAGCUAAAUGUCCCAGAAAAGGAUGUUGAGCAGCUCUUGGUGUCAUUGAUUCUGGACAACCGUGUCCAGGGCCACAUAGAUCAGGUGAACAAGCUGCUAGAAUGCGGUGACAGGUCAAAGGGAAUGCGGAAAUAUCAAGCCAUCGAUAAGUGGAAUACUCAGCUCAAAUCCAUUUACCAGACGGUGUCCAACAGAGUUGGGUGA
rnacentral:rRNA from 1 species